CUCGUAGGUAAGUGGGUGGUGGGGGUGCCGCACGUCUGCCUCUGCUUCCCAACCCCCAUCUCUCCGGACUACAAGCCACCUUUCUCCUUCCCAAAUGACCUUUUUUUUUUGUCCGCUGGAGGCAAGCUAUGGUCUCAGCUAGUGGGAACCGGGAAGAACCAUGCACAGGCGGCGCAGUGACCACGGGGUUGGGGGACGCAGGAUCCUGAGGCCAUCUGGAUGCCCAUCUCGCGUCCAAAUCUGUCCCCCAGCAGAUGUCCUGGAGAGUCCGCCAAGUGUUUGGGACGCGCCCUCAGCAUCCUGAGAGGUUGUCUGGGGUCUCAAAGCAAGGACUGAAUUUAGGGGAGGUCGCCUUUUCCUCCGGAUUUAUGUAUUCCUCAACUGCCUUGUAUGUGUGACCCUGCCUCCGUGUAUUGUAUAUAUCUGACAAAAGAUUUAAUAGCAAAAGACAUACAAUGUGGCUGUAUUGCCUUGAGGAAAUGACCAAGAAGAGGAAAAACAGCAAAGAAAAGAUUCCUUGAAGAGAAAACUAGAUUUUUCACCAAAUCAGAAUCCAAGAUUUGAAAACCAGGCUUUUCAAGAGAAUACCUCUGUUGACUAGUAAAUUUUGACUUUCAUAGGAAAAUCAUAUAGUUAGGUAAAUUUUUUUGUGAGGGGAGGGUGGAACUCCAAAAGUUUCCAAAAUUUAUUGGCAAGAUAAUUAAACAUGUUUUAUGUAGCAAAAAUGGAAAAAUACUGCAAAAUGUUGAAAGGGAUCAUGAGGUGACUCAGGAGCAUGAAAGCAUCAUUGUAGCUACUUUAAUAUAGUUUGUUUUACUGUUUUAUAAGUUGGGGGGGGAGGAAGACAGAAUUGCUGUGAAAACUCCAGUUAAAUUAUGGCUAGAGCAGCUAUGACCAUAUUUUUUGGUGGUGAUAUUUAUGUACUUUUAGAGAUGUGUACAUAUGUGAAUAUAUGUAAUCUUCAGACUUCAUUACUAUACAGAUUAUCUGUAUAAAGUAUAUAAACAAUGUAUAAUAAAUGCAAAUACGUGUAUUCUAUAAAAUUAUGAACUAUUUCAUUUAUUCAAUCUUAGGGAAGCAUCCUUGAUUUUUAAGGGGAAGCAAGAAUGAUUCUUGAGAGUUCUAUUGUAUUUUAUUGCCCCAUUCUAAUUUGUGAACUUUUAUGAAUUUUCCCUAAGUUACUAUGAAGAUAAUUUUAAAAAACCCUUACCUUCUUUCAGAGUUGAUAUUGAUUCAAAGCUGCAAGGGCUAUGCAAUUGAGGUCAAGUGACUUGGCCAAGGCACACAGCCUGAGGUCAGAUUUGAACCAGGUGUUCUGACUCCAGAGCUGGAACUCCAUCCACUAUGCUACCAUCUUUAGAAGAUGAUUUUCUAGUGCCUUGAAGACAUUUCUUUCAUGUUACCAACUCAAUAUAAUUUCAUAUUUUCAAGCUGUUCAUCCUGUAUUAAAACUUGCCUCUAAUAUCUGAAAGGAAAUGUGGUUAACAUUUAUAUAUUGCAAGAUUCAAACUGUGACAGACUGUUGAUGUGAUUUGACAAUAAGAUCAACAAUGAUUUUUCAAAGUACAAAUUUGUCUAAAUUCAAGUAUAGUUUCUUAAGAAAUUUAAGUUCAAUAUUUCUUUUAGAGGGAAAUACUUGGAGGGGAAGUGUCAAACAGCAACUGAACCAGAUUAAAAUUUUGGGAAAUAUUUGGCAAAAUAUAUAAAAAUAGAAUAGAGAAAAUGUUACUAUGUGGUAUGCUUCCUUCAGGUAUCCUAAUAUAGGGUUUAUUGGCUUUUCAUUUCUAUUUGAGUUUGACAUCACUGCCUUAGGAUGCUUAUAAUGCUACUUCCCAGGCAAAGAGGAAAAAUUAAGAUCUCUUUCCAUAUUUCUUCCCUGUUUUUUUGGUUCACUUAGAAAUACACCUGGAAGAUACUUUUAUUGUAACAGGUACCUACAUUCAUCUAACACAAUUGCUACUAGAAGUUUUUUCUAUAUUAUUUACAAAUUGACCUUAAUAAAAACAUCAGCAAGAUGUGCUAAGGUUCAUAGUAAUAUGUACUAUUUAUGUUAACAUAAAUAGCAUUUUUACCUGAUUACCCUAUGUUCCCUUUCAAGCCUCUGUAUUACUUGAGUGCUGUAGUCACAUAUAUAAACAUAUUAAAAAACGUUAGGGGAAACUAGGUGACUCAAUGGAUAGAGAGCCAGUUGUAGAGACAGGCGGUUCAAAUAUGACCUCAGGCACUUCUAGUUGUGUGACCCUGGGUAAGUCACUUAAUCCCAGUUGCCUAGCCUUUAUUAUUCUUCUGUCUUGGAACUGAUAUUUCUUAUUGAUUCCAAGACAGAAUGUAAGGGUUUUGUUGUUGUUGUUGUUUUUUAAUGUUAGCAAACUUCUUUCUGUACGUCCAGUAUUAUUGUUCAGUCAUUUUUCAGUCAUGUCUAACUCUUUGUGAUGUCAUUUGGGGAUUUCUUGGCAAAGAUAUUGGAAUAGUUUGCCAUUUUCUUCUCCAGCUCAUUUUUGAUUGAAUGCAGAUCUUCCUGACUCCAGGCCUAGUAUUCUAUUUACUACACUGACAUCUGCCUCAGCUCUCUUUUUUCCUCAAUUUUCUCAAUCUUCUUCAUUUUAAACUUCCUAACUAAAACCCAUUAUAAUGUUGUUGUUUUUUUCUAUAACUAAGUUUAUUGGCUACUCUUCAAAUCAAUUCAAAACCCAGAGUAAGUCAAUCAGUCAAUCACCAGACAUGGCAAAGCUAUCAAUGCCUGCUAAAGGAAGAUAGAUUAGAACAUCAGUAGCAUCAAGGAACUGAAUUAGUUUCUCUCUCUCAGUCUCUCCCCUGCCUUUUUCUGUCUUUUUCCCCCCUUUAUUUCAUGUGGUUUGAUUGCCUCUCUUCCUCUACCCCUCACUCCCACCCCAGAAACCUGGGGCAGUCUUUUUUGGGGAGCAGGUCUGCAGACUGGCACCUCCAUCUUUAUAAGCAUCCUGCUGAAUGGAUUUAAUUUAACAUGAUUACAGAAGGUGAAUCCCAUAUCCACUUGUAGUUCUCCAUGUCUAAAUGCCCCCAGGUGUGAGAUUCUCCAACUCAUAACAGAAGCCAAAGCCCCUUUUAUCCUUUCCAGUUUUCUUAUUUCUCACUUCCCUCAAUAUAUUUGGUGAAUCAGUGACACUGGCUUCCUUGUUCCUCCUAAAUGACACACUGACAACUGAGUAUUUUAACUGGCAGUCCUGAAUGCCUGUAACUUUCUACCCUUCUCAGCUUCUAGCUUCUUUGGCUUACUUUCAGUCUCAGCUAAAUUCCUAGCUUCUGCAGCAAGUCGUGUUCAGUUUUCUAAUCUUACUGUCUUCCUUCUUUAUGAGAUGAUCCCCAAUAUUUCCUGGAUAUAUCUGCUUUAUACAUAGCUGUUAGCAUGUUGUCUCAUCCAUUAAAUUGUCUCACCAAUUAAAUCCUUGACGAUUAUUAAUAUUUUUUGUCUUUUCUUUGUAUCUCCAACAACCUAAACCCUGGCACAUAGUAGACAAUUAAUAAAUAAGAAUUAAUUGACUCA